rnacentral:rRNA from 1 species
CCUACGGGAGGCAGCAGUGGGGAAUAUUGGACAAUGGGCGAAAGCCUGAUCCAGCAAUGCCGCGUGAGUGAUGAAGGCCUUAGGGUUGUAAAGCUCUUUUACCAGGGAUGAUAAUGACAGUACCUGGAGAAUAAGCUCCGGCUAACUCCGUGCCAGCAGCCGCGGUAAUACGGAGGGAGCUAGCGUUGUUCGGAAUUACUGGGCGUAAAGCGUACGUAGGCGGUUAUUCAAGUCAGAGGUGAAAGCCUGGAGCUCAACUCCAGAACUGCCUUUGAAACUAGAUAGCUAGAAUCUUGGAGAGGUGAGUGGAAUUCCGAGUGUAGAGGUGAAAUUCGUAGAUAUUCGGAAGAACACCAGUGGCGAAGGCGACUCACUGGACAAGUAUUGACGCUGAGGUACGAAAGCGUGGGGAGCAAACAGGAUUAGAUACCCUGGUAGUCCACGCCGUAAACGAUGAUAACUAGCUGUUCGGGCUCUACGAGCUUGAGUGGCGCNGACUACGACAUUAAGUUAGUCCGUCCGUCGGGAGGUACGGUACGCGAGAAUUAAACUUAACAAAUAGAAGUUAGACGGCGUGAGACGUGCCGACGGACGACGACGAGGGAGGUUAGG